rnacentral:rRNA from 1 species
GACCUCGGAUCAGGUAGGGAUACCCGCUGAACUUAAGCAUAUCAAUAAGCGGAGGAAAAGAAACCAACAGGGAUUGCUCUAGUAACGGCGAGUGAAGCAGCAAUAGCUCAAAUUUGAAAUCUGGCGUCUUCGACGUCCGAGUUGUAAUUUGUAGAGGAUGCUUCUGAGUGGCCACCGACCUAAGUUCCUUGGAACAGGACGUCAUAGAGGGUGAGAAUCCCGUAUGCGGUCGGAAAGGCGCUCUAUACGUAGCUCCUUCGACGAGUCGAGUUGUUUGGGAAUGCAGCUCUAAAUGGGAGGUAAAUUUCUUCUAAAGCUAAAUAUUGGCCAGAGACCGAUAGCGCACAAGUAGAGUGAUCGAAAGAUGAAAAGCACUUUGGAAAGAGAGUUAAAAAGCACGUGAAAUUGUUAAAAGGGAA